UUUUUUAAAGAAGUUAUUUACUGAUUUCUCAUAAGGAAAAUCUGUUUUUUUUUUUUUCUUUCUAACAGCACAUUCAUUUGGUGUCUUCCAGGCCUUAAUACUGUAGCUUCACAGUCUCCAUGUUAUUGUCAACCAGUGUUCUUGUCCUUAGGCCAUGUCAAGGCCAAGGCCAUGCCAGUGCUGCGGCUGCAUUUCUUUUCUUGUGUCCUUUGCCAUCCCUUGGGAGUUAAUAAACAUCUCCAUCUUUAUUUCUCUACUUUCUUAGUUGCUCACGUUCUCCAGACUCUCGGAUAAAAAAUACAAACUAAGUAGACAGGUAGUAUGUAGUAAGUCCGAUUUUCUUGUCUUCCAGCCUGGACAGAGCUUUACAGCUUGGCAAUGUGGUGACCUCCCUUUGCAGAUACCUGGGGAUCCCUGUUUUUCUCUUUCUUGGUGUACCUCCCAAGGAUGUCAAAGGGUUUUUAUGGAAAAAGGACUCUGAGUGGGGGGUAGUAAUUUACAUUUGUUUACAUUCUAACAUUGCUAUGUGGCAUGAAUCUUCCUCCUCAGCUGGUGUAGCAGUUCCCAUAUGCCAGCGCGUCCUAACUCCCCUUCAUUGUAUUUGGCUGAGCAAGGAACUCUAGGUUGGACUGAUUUUCUCCCCCAUUUGGAGGACACUGCUGUGCGUCUCUCUAGCCUCAGGGUCAACACUGAGCAGUGUUAGAUCCAGUGUUGAUCCUAGCUGUUGUAUCACGGGCUGUCUGUCUCUCUAGGACUUCUCAGUUUUGUUCAUUCCUGGGGUCUUGCAUUCCCAGUGCUGUAUUUGGUAGGGAUUUGUUUUCUAUUUUGUAGGGUGUGUUGAGAACCCUCCUGGCUGCUCAGAUGGAAUCUCAAGUACUUUGCCUUAGGAAGCUUUGGAGGAAGUAUUUCCUCUUCCACUUUCUCUGCUUUCUCUCUCUCUCUAGUUCUUAUUAAAAAGUGUCAGAGAUUCUAGGCUGAUCUCUUUAUAUUUAUCUCCCACCUCCAUUUCUCCUCUUUCUGGGAGAAUUAUCUUAUCUUCUGAUGUUUCAUCACAAUUGUGUGUGCAUUUGUGGAAGUGUGUACAUAAUGUGGGUAGGUGUAUAUACAUGUGGGUGUGUAUACAUAUAUGUGGUUGGGCAUAGAUAUAUACACAUAUAUGUGUACAUAUAUGUGGAUGGAUGUAUAUACACGUGGGUGGGUGCAAAUGCACGCACAUGUGGAAUUAGGAGAGCGACUCCAAGUGGCUUCCUCUAUCGCUCAUCUCCACUCUGGUAUUUGAGGCAGCUUCUCUCACUGAACUUGGAGCUCUCCAACUCAGCUAGGCUGGCCAGCCAGAGGCUCUGGGGACCGGAUUUGGGCACAUGCCACAGUGCCUAGCUCUUAGUGUUGGGCUGGGAACUGACCUCGGGCUCUUGAGCUUGCUCAGCAAGCUUCCCACUGGCCCGUCUCCCCAGCCCCAUCAUAGACAUUUAAAAUUUUCAGUUGUGUUUUUUGCUUCAAGAAGUUUUUUUCUUGUUCUGUGUGGUUAUAAAAUGUGUCCUUUUGGUCCUCAUCUGUGGAUAGUCUGUUGUCCCUAAUGUCAGAGGACACUGAUGCUACUGGGGUGAUCUCCAUGGGGGUCUGCUGCAUCCGGAGCUUUCAUCCUACCCUGGCGAUGGCCACCAUCAAAGUCUCUUGCAUCUUUCUCUUUCACUGUUUUUCCUGCGGGGUUGGCUUCAUUCAUUACCUGCUGUGGGGUGGGGUAUGUAGGUAAAGGCACACAGGCCAGAGCCAAGAAAGGGGCUGGUGACCUCAUCUUUCAUGUCGAUGUUAUCGAAUCCCCCUGUUUCUAGCUCUGGCUGGUGUCUCAGAGUCUGUUCCUCCUGUGCGUGUCUCCCAGGGGUGGGGUAGCAUCUCUCCAGGUCUCUCCUGAAGCUUUGUGCCACUUUUGCCUCAUGGGCAUCUGGGCUUCCCAGGCUCAGGCCAUCUUUGGAAAGGGUGUUGACACUUCUCAACUGCUAUUAUCUCUGUCUCCACUUUUUCUCUCUUUCCCUUGUGGUGCAGCAGGGGCACUCUUCUAUAACCAGAUAAUUUUAUAAGGAGGUAGAAAUAUGUGUUCAAGUUGUCAUGUUUAAUCCUGAGUGGUCUUUUCUGAAUGUCCCUUCAGGCCCAGAGGGAGGCAAACGUGUGUGAGGGGCCCAUAAAUCAAAAGCAUGAGGAGGAGACUUUGAUACAACAGCAUCGAUAGAAGAAAAGCGCCUGCGUCUCUGGUCCAGGCCGACCUGGGAUUUGUUAUGUAGCCAAGGAUGGCUUUGAACUUCUGACCCUCCUGCCUCUACUUCUCAAGCGGUGGAAUUACAGAUAUACAUAUGCACUUUUUAUGCUGUGAUGGGGAUCAAACAUAGGGAUUUAUGCAUACCAGGCAAGUACCCUAACAAUUGAGCAUGCCCCCUGCUACAGGCUUCAUCCAUAUUUUGUUGUUGUUGUUGUUGUUGAAACAUUUUUGAGCCCUAAGAUCUUUCUGAAACUGCUUGGUAAUAGGAAUAUAAAGACUGUGAUGUAUAGUGCCCACUCCAAAGUACAUUAUAGUCCAGCAUCACGGAAGUGUGUGAGUGGAUCCAAGCUCACAGGAGUGAGAUGACAGCCUGUAACAGGAGUCCUCACAGAGGGCACAGUGGCUCAUGCCAGCCCAGGAUGGCAGGAGGUCCUUCUGGGAGGAGGUGUCGCCAAAGCUAAGGUGUGAAGGUUGUGACUUCUGGAUGUGAAACUGGGGGAAAGGCAUUCCAAGCAGAGAGACCUGUGGGUGCAGAGCAGGGGUCUAGAGACUGAGGAGACUGAGGCAGCCAGAGCAACGGAGAAGUGGGGACGCCACUUGGUUAUCACUGUCCAUGCUAGGGCUGCGUGUGAAAUCGGCCAUCCCAACAGAAACAACAGCGUCUCAUUCCCCCAGAAAAGCCGAGCCAACUCAAAAUACUAUAAAAAAGGACAAUUUGAAGAUUGCAGAGACAAGACGUAUUAAAUGCCGGCUCAAUGAUAAGAACGGGACUGUUCUAGUUCCCAGGUGACAGCCGUUUCCUGUCACUUCUGUCCUCUGGUGUCCAAACAGUUAUGAAACAGGCCUUAGAAAGCUCACAGUGAAAUCUUGCUCUGCUCUUCCUGCCAGCCAGGAUUAUUUACAUAUUAUAACUGGGUCUCUUUCCCCCCACCGGCAGACGCAGUGUUCACGAGCUCUGGAGACGUGUGAAUUUGGGGCAGUGUUUUGACAGAUCUCAGUAAGAACCACUGAGGCCCAGUCUCCCUUCUGCCACAGGCACAGAUGUGGCCUUCAGGAAGGCCCUGCCCUGUCUUGGCUCCCGUUGCCUCACUUGGCAAACAGGAGGAGCUGAAUUAGAUUACCUUCAAGGUUUGUUCCCGGACAGAAACUGGAGGCAGGCAGCCUCAGCUUCACAAAGGGGUUCUCUGACUCCCUGAAGUGAAAGAAGCACCUUGGGAUGCUCUGCGAACAGCUGUGUGAAGCCUUGGGCGAGCAGAGGCUGGACUGGCGCUUCAGGAGAAGCUUUGGGAGCCUCGGGCCUCCCAUGGCUAUGGAACCUCACUUCUCACAGCUCGGAUCUCAGACCACUCGCCCAGAGGCCCAGUGGGUUGGCUGCAGCGGGAGGAGAUGUGGCAUUGAGCUUGUGUCUGUCAUCAGCUCAGAAGUCCGUAUGUCCCGCUAGCCUUGUGUGACUCCAGAAGAACACGCGGAGGCUUUGAUUCCCCACUGCCGUAGCAACUUUUUAUUCCAACUAACGGUCUGUUCCCAAGUGAUCAUGCUGCUCAUGGUGCCAGCACCAGAUGUCUUGUUCCAUCUGCAUUUUAUCUCGUCCCUCCCACGCCCGAAAACUCCCCCAGUGUUUUUUACAGCAUUUUUUGACCAGCAAUUGAAUUUGACAUUGAAGUUGGUUUCUUUUCA